UCAUCAACUCUCCAACAGUCAAAGGCCGCUUGGAUUUGCCUUGGCCCGAGCCUGGACCCGAACCGGGGCUCUUCUUAGAACCGGAACCUGGCGAUUUCAAGCCAAAAGCCUUCUUCAUUUUACUAGCAGCGGCAGAAGUGAGCGAGCGCUGCAACGCGGGCGAGUUAGGCGAAUUAGGUGAGUGAUGGUGAGUCGACAAGUCG
rnacentral:misc_RNA from 1 species